rnacentral:rRNA from 1 species
UACGAAGGGUGCAAGCGUUAAUCGGAAUUACUGGGCGUAAAGGGUGCGUAGGCGGUUGUUUAAGUCUGUCGUGAAAUCCCCGGGCUCAACCUGGGAAUGGCGAUGGAUACUGGGCAGCUAGAGUGUGUCAGAGGAUGGUGGAAUUCCCGGUGUAGCGGUGAAAUGCGUAGAUAUCGGAAGGAACAUCAGUGGCGAAAGCGACUUCCUGGACCAGUACAGACGUUCAGGCACGAAAGCGUGGGGAGCAAACAGG